UGAGGCUGAACUGGGAUCAGCUUCCACCCCGAAUAGAUCGGUGGACGCUACCGGGCAGGACGCCACGGAGGGAAGCUCCGGCGCCUGUAAGAGACUGGCAAUUAAUGGAGGUUUAAACAGUGAACACAGCAUACAUUUUUAUCAGAAACAACCUCGUCUCCCAGGCUGUACUGCAUUCCUACAAAAAGGAGAACAUUUCACGCUGCUGUAUUCCUGACCGUGCUGCUUGGAGGGAGGAGUUCAGCAGGGAACACCAUCCUGGGCAGAGAGGAGUUUAGAACUGGAUUCAGUGACUCUGAUAGAAUCAGGAAGUGUGAGAAGUGAACAGGAGACGUGUCUGGGAGGCAGGUCACUAUGGUCGAUACUCCAUUCUUCAUACGCUCACACUGGGUUGAGAUUGAAGGAUGUAUUUCUCUGUCUGCCCCAGGACCCCACGCUUUCCUCUUGGUGAUGCCGGUGUAUAGAAAAGAAUGGAAAGGAGCACACAAUGAAAAGUGGGAGACUGUAGUAAAAUACUAUUACAAAUCCCUAUAUGAAGUGCAGGAGCUGUGAGGUGAGAGAGCUGUGAGGAACACAAUCAUCCUUUUCACCUGUGGGGACCUUCUAAAAGGCAGGACAAUUGAGCAGUUAAUUCAGGAAGCUGGUGAGGAGCUCCAGCAGUUUGUUGAGAAAUGUAGGAACAGGUAUCAUGAUCUCAACAAUAAGAACAGGAGCGAUCAAACUCAGGUCACACAGCUCCCGGACAAGAUAAACAACAAGGUGAAAGCAGUGGAGGAAACUGCACCAUAGAGAUGUACCAGGAGGGGAAAGGUACACAACAUGAACACAAACUGACAGAGAAAUACAAAGCUGAAGGAGGAAGAAUAGGAGAUGAAACAUAAGUAUGAGGAGGAACUGAGCAGGAGAGAAGAGGACAUGUUAGAGGAAAAUAUCAGUCCAGAAGCAGAGCAAUCCAUUGAGUUUUUAAACACAUAUCAGCGAGAGGAAACAAAAGCAGCAGGAUAAGGAAGACUAAGAGCACAAACACAGUAACACAUAGACCAUAUUAAUAAUGUAUCAAAAUAUUCAAAUGCUUCAUAAUGAUUGUCUUAAUAUUUUCAUAUGUACUGUGUAAGUGGAAACAAAACUAUAGAGAUGUUUUUUUAUCUUUUUGUUUAGAUUGUAAUAACGUGCUAAAUAUAUACAGCCAUUUAACACUAUUUGGCAGCGGCAGUUUUUGCAUGCAACAGAAGACAGAGAUUCACAUCGUCUGUGUUUCAUUGGUGGACAGAUUGAUUCUCAAAAUGCUUGACUUUUGAUACAGUCUGCUUCUAUUUAUUAAGUGCUGACAUUAAGUGUGUGCGCCUUUUAGAAACACAUAUACUAUUAUAUACUAUUCUCUUUCUAAUAUUAUAAAAUAUGUUUCAUGUUCCCCCUUGCAUACAUUAAUUUAAGAGUUAACCGAGUACUGUAUCUUAAACUAACAUUUGUAUGUUUUCAUCUGGCAUAACGUUUUUAUGUAUUGUAACGGUUGAAAUGAUCCGUUAUUAUUUCACAUUUUUAUUUUUGCACUUUUAUUUAUUAUUUGUAUAUAUUUUGAAUUGCACACGUUUUCUUAGAUAGCACACUUUAUGACUGAUUUGUUGCAUUUUAUUGUUGCUUCUCCAUUUGGCACCCGAAGCUAAUUUAUUAACUAUUAUUAUUUAUUUCUUAGCAGACGCCCUUAUCCAUUUAUACAGUUGGGUUUUUA